ensembl:lncRNA
UGCAUUAGAAUGUCCCUAUGAAGCGCUUCUAGGACGGACCGCUGCCACAAUAUCAAUUGUCCUGGUCAGACGGUGUGCCGGUCAAAAUAAGCGGCGCUGAUGGGAGCGGUUAAUGAGUGGCCCGACGCGCUGAACUCGUUCAACUGUCGAUGUUCGAUGAGAAGGAGGCCGGGAGUCACCUGCCUCGUGUCUCGACCGUCGAGUGGACGAAGCGUCAGAGAGCAGCAGAGAAACGCUGAAUCAAGCAUUCAGAGGAAUCGUAGACUGAAACUAUGGUUAUGAACAUGAACCAGAAGAGUCUGCAGCGUUCAACCCGUCCGAUCAAACAGGAAGCAGAGAAUCACAUCUGGGAUCAGCAGCUCUUUUUUGCAUUGAAAGAAGAACUUAAAAUGUCCUCUCAAACCUAAUUUACAUUGAUUUACGUAAUUAGAAUUAGAAAAGGUAAAACUCAAAAUGUGCUCCACAAUUUCUUCGAAAAAAGGGCCUUCAAGUGCUUUGUUCUAAGUAAUUAAAUGACAAUUAAACUAAACUCUCAUCCCAUUGGAUGAAUUCAAAUGUUUAUUAAAACCAGAAAUAAUCCCUUUGUCUUAAAUGGUAAUCAGUGACACUCAAACAUCAAGGACAGACACAGAAUGUUAACUAACAGUACCGCCAACAUUGAAUAAACUACUAAACUGAACACUUUAUUGUUCUUGUUGGGUUUCUUAUUAUGGAUUUAUCAGCUGAUGUGAUGUUCGGCCGGCGCAGGAGGUCCGGCUCAGAUCCAGUGUGCAACUUCAAAUACACGGUCCAACCAGCGAUGAGCUGCAACUCUGACACCAGUUCUGCCUUAAAAGGGUUUCCCACAAAGGUUUAGCGCCUUGGUCCGCGGCUCAGUAGAACCUCGCGUUGGUUUGAGAAUGUGUGCCGGGGGCGAGGGCCCACAAUGACCAAAGGGGGGGGAAAUGAAGACGGCAGAGAAAAGCUGAGGAAUAAAAGCUGAGGCGGGGAGCCGCCAGCCCCUCACUGCGCCCGAGUCCCUGCAGGCAGAGCGCCAGCGUCCAUCAUGGGGGGUCUUAGUGUCCAAAUCUAUGGAGGACCUGAGCCAUGCUGCUCCCUGCUGUGUGUGUGUGUGUGUGUGUGUGUGUGUGUGUGUGCGCGUUGGGACAAUCAGGUGAGCAUGUUGAUGUACAGAAUGUUACAGAACACGGAUGGAUGGAUGGUACAAUAUAUAGAGCUCAGAAGGUGUUCUGCUGUAUUUGUGGUAACUUUGUCAUUCAUUCUGAUACAUCCAGAAACCGACGGCAGCAGGAGAGGCUUGAUGCCCUGUGCGUGACGCUUGAUCACGCACUGGGGAGUUACAUUUACACAAUUAAUGGGAAAUACACACAGAAAUUGGGGAAAGUUUCCACCUGGAGGUUUUGACUCAAGUUCAAUUUCUCACUAUAACUCCGAGUCGUAACACUAUAAAAUAAUAAUGUGAAGCUCAACUUGUGAGAUGCUGUAGGCCUGACAGCACGAAUGUGUUACUCAAAAACAUAAAGUAACGUCUCAGAACAUGAAAGCAAUAACCUCAAAAUAAGUGAGAGCAUCUUUAGUCAGCGGUAGUGGUUCUGACAAACCGGUCGAUGCGGACGACUAACUCAAAGCUUGAUAGCUUUUGAAAUAAACUAGUUGACGCGGUUCCAACGUUUCCAUAACAAGAAUCUCUGCCCCACAAGGCCAGCGGGAUUCAGCAAUAAUUGGCAUCUGUGUGUGUCCACACACACACAGUGGCACCCGCUGUGUCAUACACCUCCUUUUAACAAAUUGCAGGCUACACUGAGCUAUAGAUCCGGCAAAUUGCCACAGAAACCACUACAACACACACACACACACACACACAUAGACACAUACACACAAACCGCCUUUUGAGGUGUUGGCAUGGUAACAGCUGAAAGGUAUCCAGGCUCUCUGAAUGGCCGGUUCCCUCCUUCUCUCCUUUGGACUCGUUCGGCUGCAAAGUUAGAUGUUCUAUAAUCAAAGCUCUUCGUUAGACUGCGCUGAGUAGACAUGGACCUUCAAUACUACGGUGUUGUUAAGCUGUUGUGUACAAACGCGUUUGACCUAAAACUGGUGGAGAAACGUACGUUUGAUAUGUUGAACGGACCUUUGCAAUUCUCACUGAAAAUAAAUCAAUACAUGAUCUGAUGGACACGUUGAACGUUCUUGGUUUGGGGUAAAAUAACUAUUGGCUGGUGGUGUGAUGGGGGAAGAAGGCCUCAUUGACUGCUGGUUGGGUCCGUACAUACCUUUUUAUGGUAUUUACUGGAAUGAACCAAUAGGCCGACCAGCUCGUAUUAAAAACGUGUAUGUUUUCAACACACGGUGGGAGUUGUCUCUGAUUUAUUGUUGUACACUAUGUGAAGCCCCCCGAGCUGUUUCCUUUCAGUCCCUCGCACAACAGAGCAGCAAAAUGCAGCGACGGACCAAUGAAAGAGACGAAAAAAGUCACGACUUUAGAACUCGUGCUGAUCAACUCCUCUAAACUAUUUUUAUUCAUUUGUUGUUUCAUUGAUAUUUAUUCCCUGUAUUGAAUUUUAAAAAAAAAGAGUAUUUAUAUUUAAGUAAGUAUUUUAGUAUGUAAGUAUUUAUAUAUAUAUAUAUAUAUAUAUAUAUAUAUACAUA